UUGUUUAUAUGUUUUAAUGAUUUUUUUCUAAUAUACAUUGCAUGGGAGAAUAUUAUUGUACAAUUCAACUGUAGCUCAAUGAAAUCGAUCAAUUUUCCCAGAGAGUAGCAGUUCUGUAGCGAAGGCCUGUGAUAUUUUCUACCUUGCGAAAACUUAAAUGAAAUGACCUUGGUUUGUCUGUUCCCGAUACAUGAAUGUGAACUGAUGCAUGGCUACAGGUGUUCCAGCGACACUUUCCGAUCGUCUUCUUGUUUUAUUCCGUCGUAACAGGUUUCAGUUAAGGCAAUCAAAUUUUAAUAUUCCCCUGCAUUUUCACAGGAUGAUGAAGGGUAGACGACAGGACGUAGACGGUGGGUACGCCUGGGUGGUGAUGAUUGCUAGCACGCUUUCUCUCGUACUGAAUGGAUGCCUUUUGUAUGGAGCCGGAAUUAUGCACGUUGCUUUCCUAGGCCACUACAAUGAGUCGGAUGCGUACACGUCGCUUGUCGGAUCAGUAUUUAGCAGUAUUUUACAAUUAAUAGGUCCCUUCGCUAGUGUACUCAUCAACAGAUUCAGCUGCCGUUUUACAUCAGUGGUAGGCGGAAUAAUGGUGUUUAUAGGAUGUUCCUUGUCCUUCUUCGCUCCAUCAUUAGAUAUUAUUUUGGUGACCUAUGGAAUAAUUGCAGGUAUUGGUAACGGAUUGUGCUCUACUCCUCCACUGGUGGUGAUAUGGUACUACUUUCAGGAAAGAAGAGGGCUUGCUUUGGGUGUUACAGUAGCUGGAGGGGCGAUGGGGAUGUUUAUAUCGGGACCCCUUAUUCAAUAUCUUCUCGAUUCUUACGGACUUCAUGGAACACUAUUAAUUCAGGGUGCUCUCUUUGCUAACCAGAUUGUAAUGGGGUUAAUCAUGCGACCAUCUGAAAUGGAAAUUCGUCAAAAAUCUCAUAGAAUCAAACAAACCAAUCAAAGAAAAUCGAAAGAAAAUGCAAGAAAUUGGAAGAAUAUUCUACAUUUAGAUAUUUUAUAUGAUAAAAUGUUUUUGUUAAUUCUUUUACAAUACUUUUUAUGGAACAUUCCUUAUUCCAUGUUGAUGUUACAUUUACCAAAUUUCUCCGUCACCAAGGGAUUCAGCAAACAGGAUGCAGCAUUUCUCAUUUUCUUGAUAGGCCUCUUGGGAACAUUUGGUCGCAUCGUAACAGGCCUAAUCGUAGGUCCACAUGGAAUAGAUCCUAUUCUAAUGAACACUGGGACCUUGGGAAUUUUAAGCAUAAUCUGUGGAUUCUUUCCUUUCUUCUCUCAUUCCUAUACCGGACAAUGCAUAUUCUCUUGUGUGUUUGGAUUAUAUCUUGGGACUAUGGUAACGCUGAUUACUCCUGUUACUGUGGAAACGUUAGGUAUUCAGAAACUGUCCAGUGGAAUCGGAAUAAUGUAUUGUUUGGGAGGAAUGGGAUAUCUCAUUGGACCCAUUUUUGCUGGCAUUUUGCUUGAUAUUGGAAGCAAGUACGAAGUAACAUUUUACAUUUCAGGUUUGCUAUUACUGCUAGCAUCACUUAUUACAUUGAUGUCCUCUCUCUGGAGAAAAGAGGUUGAUAAUCAAAUUGAAGAUCUUUCGUACGAACUACCAGAAAAAGAACAAGUUAAGAACUCCACGUUAUCAAACCAGUCAGGGUUACUCGCUGGGUCUAUCAUCAUUCAUCUUGACGAAAAUAUUGAUAGAAAAUCUAGCCAACUGAAAUGUACACAGGAUUCUGAGAUACAACAGAGUCAUGAUAGCUUGGCAAAAACCACAACAGUUUAUAAUUUUCAGAAAAACAGAAGUGUGUGUAACAACAAGUGCAGGUCGUACGAAGGUACUGGAUCUAUAAGGAAAAUAACGAGUUCUGACAACGAUAAAACGGAAAUGUAGUGGAUCUAUAUGGAAGUUAACCAACUCUGAUGACGAUAGUUCAGAAAUAGAAGAUCCAUACAUGGAAGAAGAUAUUCUAAAGUUGUUAGCUUAUUUGAAAGAAGUAAGUGCCGUACACCACAAGGACAAGGACGUUUACGUUCUCUACGACCCAAGAAGAACGAUAUACCCAAUAUCUGGAUGCAAAGGCAUUAGAUUUCACUCCGAAUGAAAGUUCACGAGUCGCUGGAAUGAACUCCACAAACUGACCACUGUCUAUGAUGUCGCCUGUCAUGUGAGUGUGAAGCAAAACGAAUAUGAAGACACAUAUACAGAGAAAAAGAGGCGAUACGGAAACAGUAGAGUUUAUAUAUGCUGAGUGCUAGGUUUCACAAAAGAAUAGGUGACCCUCCUCUCUCUCUCUCUCUCUCUCUCUCUCUCUCUCUCUCUCUCUCUCUCUCUCGGAACCUUUGCGAAUGACAUACCCAGCUGGUUUAGGAAUCUCGAGAAUUGUCUAUGAAUACCCAUACAUCAGCGUAUGGAACCUUAAUAUUGCAGUCGGAGUCGUUGCCCGAACUCCGGGGGAAGAAAUCACUGUUGCAAGCGGAGAAUCCAAGAAGAGAAAGCUGACCAUUCAAGAGUAUUGGGUUCGGGAAUUUCCCCGGAACCACACUACUGGAACGCACACCCCUGGUUUGACCUGUCAACUCUAUCAAAUCUGCCGUAAUCAGGAAGUGUUACACAGCUAAUCAAAACAUAGAAAACAGAUGUACAGAAUCCUUUCAUUCAUCCUAUCACUUAACAUUUAAAUAUAUGCAUUUAUUGGAGAAUAUUAUGUCCAGUGAUAUUGACAUGAUUAUUUCUCAUGUUUUGUUAAAUUUCAAUGUAGAAUUAAUCAACAAUUAUUGAAACAUCCAUAAUUUCAUUCUAGUGGACAUGUGACAGUAUGAUUUAAUUGUAUGUAAACAAAGGUGAUUAGUCUGAAAUGAAAAAUAUAGAGACUUAUUACAUUGAUCAAAUAUUGAAGAAAUUUAAUGUAUUAAUUUCAGUCUUGCAUAAAAUAUCCAAAUAGUUUUAGAGAAUCUAGCUGGAUUUCGUAAAACUUCUAUAUAAGAUCUUAUUUUUACUCUGUACACACUAUUACAAAGUUUCCAGAAUAUACUGGACUUUUAUUGAUUUUGGAUAAGCACAUGACGAUAUGGCCUGUUGGUCUGUAACGCGAAUUCUUAUUCAACAAUACAGACAAUAUUGAUGGAAAUAUUUCAAAGUUAUCAAAAUUAUUGGAAUUCAAUAAAGAUUGUCAUAA